AUCAUGUGACUUAGGCUAGCCUAUCGGGAGGGAAAAGCAAGGUUCACGAGGGCGGGGUUGUGAGUGAAUGAGAUCUACGAGACAAGUCAGAAAGCGCCAAAGCUUUGAGCAGGUCUCGCGAGACUUAGCGAUAACUUGAUGUUGCCAUGACAGCCUAUCACACUCCUUCGGAAAUUACUGCAAUGAAUUCAAGGCUGUGUUUACACCUCAAGUGGACUGACACCUAAAUUUGCAAUUUAUACAAUGGCUGAGUUGUUGAGUAGAAUGAAACCAAAGGGAAAAGGAACCUCACCUGUGGUGUUGGGAACUGCUGGAAGAUAAUGCAGGACAACAGAAACAUUUUUAUAUGAAAGGAAGAAAGAAAGGAAAAUAAUGUGGGUAAGACAAUGCUAUCAUUAAAUAAAUUUGUAAUUUUUUACUGGCCAAACCCAAAGGGUACUUUCCAAGGGCUGCUUUCAAAUCCAAAGAGAAGUGACUAGUGUGUGCCAAAAGGUUCAGACUCAGGCUCAGUACUAUUCAACAUUUUUAUCAGUGACUUGGACUUUAUUCACACUAGUUAAAAUAAUAAGUUAUACCCACCUCUAUUUUGAUGCUAUUGAAAUGCAUUUAUUUUAGGCCUUUAAAUGCAAUUUUAAAAAUUCACUUCUUACUCUAAUGUUUGCAGGGUGAAAGGGUCUUUUUAGUUUCAUUUGUCCUAUCUGGAUCAGAGUUGCAUCUAUGGGGAUUGGUAGAAGAUUUGUGGGAGGCAUCAUUCACCCAUCAAUUGUCACCAUCAUGAAUAACUUUAUCCAUUAUGGAUGUAUCUAGUUUUCUCUUAAAGACAUCCAAGUUGCCAACCCUGAGUACAAUGUCCAUCCAGAUCUGUGAUUUCCAUCAACUAUGGGUCAUUAUGACUCAUAUUAAUAAGUGGCAGUGAUGUGAACAUGGACAUAAUGAAACAUGCACAUCAACAUCACUUCCAGUUAAUAAUAUAGAUUCUGGUUUUUUUUUUGUAUCCAUGCAGAGUCCUGAAACCAAGUCCCCACAGAUAUGAUGGACUCACUAUACAUUUUCACACUUUCAACCGCUAAUUCUUAUACUGCUUGCAGAUUAUAAUUAUAGUUCAAGACAUCUGGAAGCAUAUAAAUUAGGAAAAUGCCACUGUGCCAAACUGGCAUGAAUUUAAUUCAUCCUGGCGCUCUUUCCAUGCAGAGAGCCAAAAAGAAUUAUUAGUACAUCUAUGCCACACCUGGGGAUCUUUAAGAAACUUGUUAAAACAUAUAUUUAAAGACAUUUCUGAAAUAACUUGGUUGUAAAUGUGUUUUUAAGAUGCUGUUAAAACUGGUAAAUGUCAAUAUGAAACUUAAGAGGACAUACACGCACAUUCUGAAAUGCAUUUCAAAACUAGUUAUAAUGGGAUUUUUGUAUUUGACAUUUAUACUAGUAUUUCCUCUGUCUUUAGUGUUUGGGCUACAGGAGGACUAUGCAAAUAAACAAGGAUUUGAGAUUCUUUUCUGGCUCUGCAUCCCUGAAUGCUAUUCUCAGAAUGUCAUUUUGUGUUUGAGAAAACAUUCUAAAAAUUAUUAAGGCAUGAAGUAAAAUUUACCCAGAGUUCCAGCCUCUUCUGAUGGUUUAAUUUUAGUUUAGAUACAAAAAUAGGAUGUGUGUUCAGACACAGGAGCAGAAAACCAAUGUAUAGCAGAGGAAAAUGGCAUAAAAUAUCAUGUGAUUAGAAAUUUAUGGGAAAACUAUAUGGAAAUCAUGACAGAACAAACAACAGAGGCUGUUAGAAUCUGGGCAAAUACUGACAUGUAACUGUUUUGAGGAGUUUGAAUUCCUCUCCUCUUUCAUUCACUAAUCUGCAAAAACUACUGGAAUGCAUAGUCAGCAUCCAAUUCAAUUUUUGAUCCAACAAUAAUCUUUAGCCUCAUUUAUUUUCCAUUUGUAGUACAGGCAGUUUCCAGGUUACAAGCCUCCGACUUACAGACUACUUAGUUAAGAAUGAGGAUGAGAGAACAGAAAGUGAGAGAAAUCUGCCCCUUGGAAGAGAAGUUCACUCUUGCAAUGGUUAUGUUGGGGAAAAGAUGUCUCCACGGAAGCUGCAUUACCAGUCCUUGUUUCCACAACAAGACUGUUUCCACAACAUGUUUCAAAAUCCAGUUAUCACAACGACAGAAAGUGAGGUGAAGUUUUCUGAACAGGGGCACAGGCAGCAGAACAAACAACACAUGGGCGUUAACCCAUCCCUAUGUUAUCCAAGGCAUGUAUGCAUAUGCACUUAUUUAUAUAUUUGUCUGGAGUUACACUUACAAAAUGUUCUUAUUCCAACUUACAAACAAAUUCAACUUGGGAACAAACCUAUAGAACCUACCUUGUUCAUAACUUGGGGGCUGCCUGUAUAUUCUCUGCCCCUGCUCUGCCAAACUCCUAGUAUGUUGAACACCUUCCACUUUGCAAAGCCUGAUCUGUAGCCAUCUUUAUCUCAGAAUUAACUCACAGUGUUGGUUCAAGCAAUCAUUCCGUUGUCUUCACUUUUUUGCUGGCCCAAAGAGAACAUUUUCUAUCAUAUCCUUUCCUGGGUUCCUCAGGCAAACUUUCACAUGAUACAAUGGAGGAUAACAAAUCUUAUACUACUUCUGUGGGCCCAUCCAGACAGGCCCAAAACAUGGGACCUGUCUGGGUUUUUACCGAGGAGGAACAUAAUACUGGCCAGAUAAUUUUUAUAUAUUUUUUUUUACUUUUAAGGGUUAUUUUGAGAGGCUUCAGGGUGGGUGCAUUAUCGGGAUGGCACAUAGCCACACUCCCCAGGAAAGCCCAGGUUUUGAGUGGCUUGUGGGGACUUAACCCCACUCUGAAGCAGGUUUUUUAUGCCCACUUUGGCACGUGUUUAAGUCAUGUUUGGAAGCACCUGUAACUAUUAUUUGCAAUAACUGUAUGGGUGGGCAGUUCAAUACAAUUGCAAAAUAUUUCAGAAGUAGACUAUAUUAUUUUCUUAAAUUAUGUUUUCCUUACACUUCUGUAAUUUGCAAUAAAAUUAUCAAAAUUGCCUAGUGGAGUUGAGUAAUUAGAACUGCAAACCUUUAGAAUGUAUAUUAUACAGUAAGCCCUUGCUAUCUGCUGAGGACCUUUCUAAAUAGCAAAAUUUGUGGAAGCUCAAGCCCUAUCAUAUAUAAGAGCAUAGAAAAUGGUGCCUCAUUAUAUAACAUGGCAAAAUCAAAUAUAUUUUCAAGUUAUGGAUGGUUGAAUCCAUGGAUACACAAUCUGUGCAUGCAGAGGGUUGAUUGUGAAUGUUUUCCUGAUGUCUUAGAGGUCACUGUUAGUAAAGACAGGCUAGUAUUAGUAACCCAUUUAUAUGCUGGAAUUUGAGAUAUUCGUACCAAUGUCUUGUUUGAGCAAACCAUCCACUUUAGUUCUUAUUUGAAUUAUUUAAAUGGAGCUCUGAUUGGCCUUCCUUCCAUUUAUCCCUCAGUGUUAUCUUUACCACAGUACCAUGUGCUGCCUAACUAGCUACCUUGAUCCAGGGUCAUGGGUUCAUUGCUCACGUUCGUACACUUCCAUUGGUCAGCAUUGCAAUGUGUGCUAGCCUAUGCAUUGCAUUUUUAUUCCAUGACUGAUUCACUCAGCUUACAAACUGGAGUUAGCUAUAACCACAGUCAUUCUGGUACCAGGGUUUUAGUGGAUGUAAAUGUGAUCUAGGUAGGCAGGCGGUGAUACACCAAAAGGAGAUCAGCAUUAAAUAAUGUUUACAGCGGUAAUGGACUCAAGGCUCCCAUUAAAUUAAUACUCGGGAUAUGUAUAAGCAUGAAUGGCAUUCCUAAAUGGCAGAACGUCAGAUAAUUUGGAAUGACAUGAUUCAAGAGAGAGUCAGUGCCGCGUAGUGGUUUGAGUGUUGGACUACUCUGGAGGCCAGGGCUUGAAUCCCCAUUCAGCCUUGGAAACCCAUUGCAUAAUGUUGGGCAAGUUAAGAAGGUGACGGCUUUGAACAAAUCUGGGCAGGAAAAUCUCAUGAUAGCAUUGCCUUAGUGUCACCAUAUAUCAGGAAUGACUUGAAGGCACACAACCCACAUACAUGUUGCAAGACUGUCUCCUAAAAUCACAUUCUACUGUAUAUUUGGCCUUGUUUUUAUGGUCUACUUGCUAUAUUGAUGCCUAUAUGAAAAAGGGAUCUUCUGAUUUCCCCAUUGAAAUUAGGUGGAUUCCUAGUGUUCGAGCUUUAUGUAGCAGAUGAAUUAUUUAAGCAGUGGGUAUAAACAUGGCCAGUCCCUGUGCACCAGAGCUGCCACCCAUCCCUGAAACUCCUUUGGCCAAGCCCUGGCUCCCUUUUCCUUUAACUGUGGAAGAUUACUCUUCAGAGUCAUCAGCAGACCAACCAAUCCCAGUAGAUAACCAAGUUUAAACACCCAGCUUUAGAGACAUUGGCCACCAUCCUUGUUUUUUCCAGAAACCUGAACUGUGUGUGUGUGUGUGUGUGUGUGUGGUGGUGGUGGGGGGGGGGGGCACAGAGCUCUUGAAAUGUCCUUGAGACUCAGCAGAACCAGGGCCAGUCUUUGUUUCCAGAAGCCCCAGAGUGCCUUAAUGUUUUUGUGGCAAGAAUCAAGGAACCAAAGUGCUGUAUUUAGAAUCCUCAGCAUGUUCAAAAAUACAAGAACUGUUCAUAAACCCAUCUCUGAAUCCUGUCCACAAUCACAAUUUUAACUUUACUGACAACUCUCACUAUGUUGAAAUCCUCACAGCAUCAGAAAACACAACUCAUUCAAUUCAAGGUUGCCGUUUUUAAAAAUCUGGUUUAUGACAGGUAAAGCAACAGACAUCUGUACAUGAGUCUCCCCAUCUGUACAUAUAAUAUAUGUACAUCAACAUUACUUUAGUAUUAGUAGUAGUGCAGUACCACCAUUGUUCAUUGUUGGUUUUGACUGUCUUUUUAAAGCUGUAAUGGAGUUACAUAACUGGGAUAUACAGAAAUGGGCUUCCAUACUACACACAAGAACCCCAAAUGAUAGAUCAGUUAGUCUGAAACUGCAUCCCAGUUGAGCAUCUAUUGUCUGGAGUUUCAAAAUCAGAAGUUUCCAAAAUGCAAUUGUCCAGCUGAGUGACUAUGAUGGUGACACUUUAAGGUUGUGAUGGUUCAAUGUACAUAAAGUUUGUUUCAUCCAAAAAAAUUAAUAGUACUGUAUACAGUUAUCUGGAGAUCUAUAUAAAUAAUGUCGGGAUUAGACUUUGGUCCCAUCUCUAGGAUACCUCAUUAUGUACAUAUAUGCACAUGCAGAUAUUUCAUAACCACAAACUCAAAACACUUCUGAUCCCAAGCAUUUUGGGAAAAGGAUAUUCAAUCUAUAGUUUCUCUACCAAUGACUUCAAUUAUAAGAAAUUGAUAUUCAUAUAAUCAUGAGAGUUAGAAGAGGCCACAAUGGUCAGCGAGGCCUAACCAGUUGGUAGCAUAAACAGGUAGCACAAUUCUGAAUUCAUAAUCUUCUCACGCUACUCACAUGUUUGCAUUUCCAUGGCUAUUCAUACCUGUAACCACUUAUAAAGGUUUGUUACUAGGCAAUUCACUCCAUGCAUUUGAAGAAGUAGAAAUGUGAAUGAAAUCUCAUACUCCCAACUUCAUUCUCUCAGUCUUUAUGGUGCUACAAGAUCCCAUUUGAAACCGAUAUUCCAGAUGAAUGCUGUUAUCUCUUUGUUAACCCAUUGUGACAAUUUGUAAAUAAACUAGAGCUUUCAUGUAUAACUCUUCCAAUGGGCUUAUCCAGAUUAUUUUUAAAUUGUCUUUUAAAAAGUAUUUAUUGGUGGAUUUUAACAUGUAUUAAUUGUAGAUGCUCUUUUAACUGAUGUUGUUUGUUGCUGUUCCCCAUCUUGAUCCACAAAGAAAAGCAGAUGAAGAGGAGGAGGAGGUAACUGGUUGCUGUGGUCUGCUUGUGUCAUGCCAGUUCUUCCUCAUCAUGGAGAGCGUGAUCCCCAGUCUGUUGUAUGAAAGGAAACCAUAGGUACCAUUUAUUGACACUUCUGACAAUUAAUGGUCUCCUUCUGAUGAAAUGUAACUGGAAUUUUCUCCAUUUACUGAACAAGAAGGGACAUUCUGCUUGUAUGGUAACUUUCUGAAACAGUAACCAUGAGACUAAAUACAAUAGAGUCACUUAUCCAACAUAAAUGGGCCGGCAGAAUGUUAAAUAAGCGAAUAUGUUGGAUAAUAAGGAGGCAUUAAGGAAAAGCCUAUUAAACAUCAAAUUAGGUUAUGAUUUUACAAAUUAAACACCAAAACAUCAUGUUAUACAACAAAUUUGACAGAAAAAGUAGUUCAAUACGCAGUAAUGCUAUGUAGUAAUUACUGUACUUAUGAAUUUAGCCCCAAAAUAUCAUGAUGUAUCGAAAACAUUGACUACAAAAAUGUGUUGGAUAAUCCAGAACAUUGGAUAAGUGAGUGUUGGAUAAGUGAGACUCUACUGUAGAAUGAAAAUGUCUAAUCCACAUAUAUCAUUUGAGUAGCAUUCAUCCUUUGCUUAAAAUAGGACCAGAAGUAUUUUAUUGUUGCAUGCAUCUUCCUACAUAUACUUAUCUAAAUCCUGAGAUAGGCUUGUGUGCUGAGAUGCAGCAGCAGAAACUAGUCUUUUAAGUUGUCGCAUCCUAAUCCUAUUACAAAACCCCCUACAAAACAGGUCCUCCUAGUGUCUACUUAUUCCAGCAUCAGACAAAGACAUUUUAUUGCCUUUGGUCUUUUCAUCAUCUGGGCAUUUCUGCUCACAUCUUAUGCUCCGAGAAUAUUUUUGUCCCUUGAUCUAUUUCUUAGAUCUCAUGAUGCCUGUUGUCAUUUCAUUUGCUUUUAAGAAAUAGCUGGACUGAGCUGUUUUUGACUUGGUUUCUAUGGGAUGCAUCAUCACUGUAUAAUUAAUGCUGUUUGACACCCAUUUUAACUGCCAUGGGAGUUGUAGUUUUACAAAGUCUUUCACUACUCCAUCAAAGAAUGCCGAUGGCUCACCCAACUGUAACUCCCAAAAUCCCAUAUUAUUGAGCCACGGCAGUUAAAGUAAUGUCAAAUUGCAUUAGUUCUACUAUGUAGAUCAGGCAUGGUCAACUUGGGCCCUCGAGAUGUUUUGGACUUCAAUUCCCAUAAUUCCCAACAGCCGAUAUUGUGGGAGUUGAAGUCCAAAACACCUGGAAGGCCCAAGUUUGUCCAUGCCUGACGUAAAUGCAUCCAUAAUCUCAAAUCAGAUCUCAGAAAUGUUACUUUUUUCAAUCAUGUCUCCUGGAAUCCUUUAGCCAGCAUUAUCUGAAUUCUGAGCAACUGUAGUUCAAAAAAGUAACUUCCCCAAGCUCUGCCUCCCAAAGAUGAAAACAGACAAGCUUACGAUGCUCCUAUUCUUGUCUAGGGAUUACUGCUUGAGCCGACCCCUGCUUAACUCCUGCACAAGACUGUGCUCCCAUCUGUUGUGUUUCUUAGCCAGCAAUAGCUUGACCUGCUCUAGGUUAAAAGCUAAAUUGUGUUCAUUUGGACAUUUAUAGCCUGCCUUUUAAAAAUAAAUCAAACCCAAAGGAUUCCGUGUUUGCAUGUAAAUAUGUGUGUUUGCAGUUCUGGAAAGGACAAAAAAACUGCCACUAACUAACAAACAAAACCAGAAGAGUAUUGAAAGAAAAAUUAGAUGUGUUUUAGAGUGAAUGUGUGAAAAAUAAAUAAUGCAUUUUGAUAAA